rnacentral:rRNA from 1 species
UACAGAGGUCUCAAGCGUUGUUCGGAUUCACUGGGCGUAAAGCGCACGUAGGCGGAUGUGUCAGUCAGGGGUGAAAUCCCGGAGCUCAACUUCGGAACUGCCUUUGAUACAGCACGUCUUGAGUCCGAUAGAGGUGGGUGGAAUUCCUAGUGUAGAGGUGAAAUUCGUAGAUAUUAGGAAGAACACCGGUGGCGAAGGCGGCCCACUGGAUCGGUACUGACGCUGAGGUGCGAAAGCGUGGGGAGCAAACAGG